UACGUAGGGGGCAAGCGUUGUCCGGAAUUAUUGGGCGUAAAGAGCGUGUAGGCGGUCAAGCAGGUCCGCUGUGAAAACUCGAGGCUCAACCUCGAGACGUCGGUGGAAACCGUUUGGCUAGAGUCCGGAAGAGGAGAGUGGAAUUCCCGGUGUAGCGGUGAAAUGCGCAGAUAUCGGGAAGAACACCCGUGGCGAAGGCGGCUCUCUGGGACGGUACUGACGCUGAGACGCGAAAGCGUGGGGAGCGAACAGG
rnacentral:rRNA from 1 species